CUCAUUUGUGUAUGGACAGGGUGCCCCAACAACCCUCGGGCUGGUUUUUCCAAAUCCUUCAGAUACUUCCCCAGCUAUAAUUUGAGAGAGGAAGGCCCGCAUAUCUUAUUUCUUCUUUACACUCCAGGCUGUCUCCAUCAGAACCCUUUAAACAGUUUCAUCUUCCCACCAAAGGCUUGCUUCCCAGCAUAAUCCUUCCUAAGCCUAAAUCCAAUCUUUGGGGGGAAGCAGGGGGAGUCAGCGGGUAAUUAUUAAUACAUUUUAAGCAGCGAGCCUCCGUGGCAACGUGAAAGGAAAGCACCAAACGCCUGAAUAGCAAAAAUGCAGUUUCAGCAACACUUUUUGAAAAGGCGGCAGACAAGACCUGGGAGGAGAGGAAAGGAAGGGACAGGACGGCGUCUGGGGCGUGAGGGGAACAGGGGACGGCAGGCCUGCGAUCACGCUUCAGGGGAACCUCCUCCGUCACCCUGGCCCACGGGUGCUCAGCUCAGUCACACGGGGAAAAGUCCAGCUUGUGACUCGAAAUGGAGUCUCUCUACGUUGCCCAGGCUGCUGGUCUCAAACUCUCGGGCUCAAGCAAUCCUUCCCCUUCAGCCUCCUGAAGUGCUGGGAUUAUAGGCGUGAACUACCAUGCCUGGCUCACAAGAAAUGUUCUGCUUGUCUGCAUCCAAACACCAACAGCAGCGGUGGGAGCAUUUUCAUGCACAGGCCCAAGAAACAUGAAGAGGACACUUACCAUGCACCAGGCUCUGGGGUAGGCUCAAAGCAAAGGAAGCCGAGUCCUUAUCCCUGUGGAACAUACAUGAAGGGAAGGACAGGAAAUGAAUGUCAACAAAUAUAUUACCAAAAUAAACUGAGAAUCAUAAGUGCUACGCAGAAGAAGAAAGCAAAUAGCCGAGAGUCUCUGGUGGCUAAGGUACUUCACUAGGUGAAGUGGACAGAGAAGUAUUAUCUUGAACUAAGAUGUAAAUAAAGAAAAGCAAGCCAUGUGGAAUGUUCCAGGAAAGGAGCACUCCAGGCAGUGGGAACAUCAUGUGCAAAGGCCCUGAGGUAGGAGCAGCUUGGCAUACUCCAGGAACAGAGUGAAGGCCAGAGGAGCCAUAGCAAGAUGAGGGAGAGGAGCAAGGGCUGGCGAUGAUGUGGGAGAGCUAUGCAGGGGCCAGAUAAAGUGGGACAUGGGAAGGAAGUUUGGGUUUUUCUCCAAGCCUUUGUUACUCCUAAUGCGGUCCAGGAGCAGCAGCAACUGUAUGGCCUGGGAGCUUAUUAGAAACGCAGUCUUGAGCCCAACCCCAGAUAACUGAAUCACAAACUGCAUCUUAGCAAAAUUCCCAC